CAGACAUGUUAAUUAGAAAAUUUAUUUAUUAAGUCUGGUCUUUGCAAAAAUGAUAAAUUCUUAAAAUCUCACAUGGAAAGAAAGUCAUCCAGCUGUUUUGGUUUUCAACUAUUCAAUUAACUACAUUGAUGGACGUAGGUCUGCUACAUUUCAUAGGGAAAAGGCAGUGUGAGAUUUUAACCGAAGCAGGGAGAAUCUAUAGAUAGAAAAAAUAUACUUUGUGAGCACAAUCAUCCAGUUUCAAUUUCAUCGUUCUUUGUGCAUUGAAGCUGGACAAUAUGAUCCACUAGAUCCUAAAAAGCCGUUACACAACUGUGAUAUCUACAGAAGCAAAGCCGCUGGUUCUAAACUGGCGUAAGUUUGAACAACAACAACUGAAUCAACUCACAUCCAAAAUUGGAGAAAAGAGAUGGGUAGUAUCGACAGAAUUGUGACUUGUCAAGUAUCAUGACGAAAUUUGGCUGCGCGUUGGAGUCAAUUUCCUGCGAAGGCCCGGCCAACACAGAGCUAAAUCUUAAUCGUGAAAUGCAAUUAUUUUUUAGUGUUUAGCUAUGUUUUAACUUAAACUUUUCCAUGCUUUUCUAAGAGCUCUUAUAAAUAACUUUUUCCAAUUGUAGUUAUACUCCUUUUUCUCUGUAGACAGUGUUCUAUAAAGAAUGCCAGUCUUCUGUUAGACUACCCAAUUGGUAUUUCCAGCGAAAUUCAUAUUCCAAUAUGAAUUUCAUACUCCAAUAUGAAUUUCAUACCACCUGUCAAUGGACUGCACUCAAGUUCACCAUUCAAUAACGACUCUAAGUUUUCCUUAAGAUUUACACUUAAAGUGUCUAGGAAGACGUUCAAAAAUAUUGAGACUAAUCACGGUUGAGCGCCGCCGGGAACUAUCACCUAGGCCAUGCCCGUGCCUGAAAGAAAAAGUCAGGACGUUGAUUCGAACGGAUUCGAAUGCAACGAGCAAUAAGUACGGUCACAUUAUUGGAGGAAUGACCGUGUGCUUGGUUCGUGAUUUGGAGUCACAAGUGAUAGCUGCAAGCUGAUGUCACUCGAACCACUGCACCAACCCGACUAAGCGUAUACUUACCUAUCAUACUUACCAUACGAAAUGUGCUUCAUCAAGUCUUUUAUACUGUCUCAUAGAUGAUCGAAAAAAGCUACAGCUCAUUAUGGCGUCAGUUUAGCUUUAAUGCUAAAUUUCGCAAACACGGUGAACUAGAUUGACAAUAAUAAAAAAUGAACUUUA